rnacentral:rRNA from 1 species
GAUGAACGCUGGCGGCGUGCCUAAUACAUGCAAGUCGAGCGAACAGACGAGGAGCUUGCUCCUCUGACGUUAGCGGCGGACGGGUGAGUAACACGUGGAUAACCUACCUAUAAGACUGGGAUAACUUCGGGAAACCGGAGCUAAUACCGGAUAAUAUAUUGAACCGCAUGGUUCAAUAGUGAAAGACGGUUUUGCUGUCACUUAUAGCUGGAUCCGCGCCGCAUUAGCUAGUUGGUAAGGUAACGGCUUACCAAGGCGACGAUGCGUAGCCGACCUGAGAGGGUGAUCGGCCACACGGGAACUGAGACACGGUCCAGACUCCUACGGGAGGCAGCAGUAGGGAAUCGUCCGCAAUGGGCGAAAGCCUGACGGAGCAACGCCGCGUGAGUGAUGAAGGUCUUCGGAUCGUAAAACUCUGUUAUUAGGGAAGAACAAAUGUGUAAGUAACUAUGCACGUCUUGACGGUACCUAAUCAGAAAGCCACGGCUAACUACGUG